GGAGGGCUGUAGCUCAGUGGCGGAGCAUCCUGCCUUGCACGCGAAAAGUCAUCGGUUCAAUCCCCAUCAUCUCCA